rnacentral:rRNA from 1 species
UAUUACAGCCAUGCCACCCUGAACGUGCCCGAUCUCGUCUCAUCUCGGAAGCUAAGCAGGGUCAGGCCUGGUUAGUACUUGGGUGGGAGACCACCUAGGAAUACCAGGUGCUGUAGGUG